GGUCCUGUGGCGUAAAUGGAAACGUACCUGCCUGAUUAGCGGGGGUUAGAGGUUCGAUCCCUCUCGGGACUA
rnacentral:tRNA from 1 species